rnacentral:lncRNA from 10 species
UGAAUUCAUAACAGUUUGACUUUGAACUGAAUUGAGGUUUUUUCUUUUCACUCAUCUACAGAAAAGGCCUCUUGCGUCAAAUGAAGACAGAAAAGCAGAAUAUUAAAUCUAUGUAAGGGAACAAACUGUUUCAAAACAGCACAACAGGCCUUUGCCUAGAAUGUGCUCGCCUGGAAUUAUCUGCACCGAAGCAGACGUGUCAGUUCGAUUUCCUGCGCACCCUGCGUUAACUCGUUUUGUGCCUUCGUGUCUGGAGAAAAUCGGCACAGCUUCCCCUCGGCAUUCUGUCCUCUCACCCUCCCCUGGCUGAAAUGAGCCUGGCCGUCCCAGGGCCCCCUGACCCCAGCACAUUCUGAGGUUUCCUCUGAGCAUGGUGUUCUGUGCCAAACACCAUGAGAGGCAUCUGCAAGAAGGACACGGAGUUGGUGGCCCGGGCCUGGCACGGCUGGUGCCCAAGAGCGAGACCAGGCGGUCUGCAGGUGCAAGUGCUCACGGUGCCAAGGGUGUCGUUGAUGAUUCACCCAGCUGUGCCGAGAGAGGGGGCUGGCCCUGCCCUCAGGGCACCAGCGUCACAGACACAGCUUUGAAGAAUCUGCAUUUGUUUGGUGAGGAAACAGGCUCAGAAUGGAGAGAAUGUUUCAAGCCCUGCCGCUGUCAGAGCCAGAGCUGGAUGGGAGCGCCAGUCACACUCAGAGUCUGAGAACUAAGCCAGCCCGCAACUGCGCCUCGUACUGCAGCAAGAAGAGAGACCGGAGACCUGGGAGGGAUUUUAUGGAAAAAGAAUUGGCCGGGCGCGGUGCCUCCGCCUGUAAUCCCAGCACUUUGGGAGGCCAAGGUGCGUGUAUCACCUGAGGUCAGGAGUUCAAGGCCAGCCUGGCCAACAUGGUGAAACCCGUCUCUACUAAAAAUACACAAAAAUUAGCUGGGCGUGGUGGUGCAUCUGUAAUCCCAGCUACUCGGGAGGCUGAGGCAGGAGAAUCACUUGAACCCGGGAGGUGGAGAUUGCAGUAAGCUGUGAUUGCGCCAUUGCACUCCAGCCUUGGUGACAGAGUGAGACUCCAUCUCAAAAAAAAAAAAAAAAAAAAAAACUGAAGCUUUGAAGCUUUUAUAUCAGGGAUUUUAGCUUUUUUUUUUUUUUUGCCAGACUAAAGUGAAAAUCCAAAACACAAAUCUUCGAUGUUUUCCCCAUCAAAUCUGUGCAGGAAGCAGAGCAGAGAAUGCAGCCUGUUAUCUUCCUCCCCUGCCCAUGGAGUUUCCAGGCCCUGCCGUUUGCAGGCCUCCACGAGCCUCUGCAGGGUCUCUGAUCCCUCCACAGGGGUGCCAAGGGCUGAGGGGUGUGCGGCCGGCCGCACGUGCAGGAGCGUUGCCAUCACUGGGCCCUGCCCGCCUCCCAGAGCUUGGUCCGGUGGCAUUGUGCGGCCCCAGAGCAGCUGGCCCUGGUGACACAUCUGCUGCGGGUCCUCACUCGGUGCUGGCAGGAAUUUGCUGCCAAUGUCGCAGUGGCAGACGCUGCUGACUGGCACCUGCCUCCCUGGUAAAGAGCAGCCGCAGCUUUGCUCAGGCCUGUGGCCUCUGGGUUAGGAUGUGAUGCCGGCCCCUCUGCACCGCAGACGUCCAGGCCAACGGGACGCAGACGGACGCAGAGGCUCUGCCAAGGCGUCAUAGGGGGCCGCCUUCCCCUCCCUCUACUGCCCCUGGGUGGAGACUGGUGGUGUGGGAGCCUCCCAGACGCGGGGGGCCACCGGCUGGUCCUGCACCGCCCACUCGACUUGCUGCCGCAAGACGUCAGCCCCGCCUGACGUCCCCCGAGAUUCUCAAGUUUGGAUCUGUUGUGGCCCUAAUACAGCCCUUGUUAUACCACAUGGAUGGGAAGGGGCCAUGGCCCAGAGCAGCUGCCCUAGGAGCCCCACUGCCUGCUCUUUCUGAAGAAAUCAGCUCUGAACGCAGAACCUGCCAGCUGGUGCUCAGGUCCAGGACAACUCUGCCUGCGGCUGUAGGGACAGGCCACACCCCACGUCCUGUCCACACCCUAUGUCCAUCCUUGCCAUGAGGCCGUUCAGGGCUCCAAGGGUCCCCCACAGGACAGGCUGCGACAGACGCAAGCACGUUUUGCGCUGCCAGGAGGCGGGAGGUGCGAUUUGUCAGCUCAUAAGGCUUAGCCUCACGCAGGUGCAGGUGGACAGAACACCCUCACGGCGGACCCCGGAGGCCUGUGCCUGACACGAAGGCUGACCCUCCCCAGUGCAAGGGACUCCUCCUGCCUGGCCACAGGCUAGGACCUUCCUCCUGCCUCAGGCUCGACGGAAACCACAGCUCUGGUCUCUCGGUGCUGGUCUUUGGAUUGGAACUCAGACCCAGGCUCUGCUGGUCUCAGGUGUGCUGACUGCAGCGUGGGGCCUCCAGCCUCCAGGACCGGGUGAGCUGACGCCUGCCAAUCAGCCACACCCUUUCAUCCUGCACCUCUGGAGAACCCUGAUCAACACAACUCGGCAUCCACAAAACUCGCUCUGUGAGCUGACACAACUCGGUGUCUGUGACGUCUGCCCACGUGCAGAAGAAACUUGGCUACCAGCUUUUAAAGCUGUUGCAAAAAUGUUCUCAGUGAAUUCAAUGCUUCAAAUCCCAGUCAUGAAAUCUAUAACUAAUUAUACUGGUCUCAAUUUAAUCAUGUGAGUUUAAAAGAAAAAAUCAAUUCACAGAGCCAAAAAUCAGCCUGAAUGUACAAGGAAGCAAUGGAUUUUGAAAAACAACCUCCAGCCAGAAACCUCCAACAGCGGGCAGGUCUCCAGUGAGCAGAUGCACAGUCUGUCCUGGCCUCCAGCCAGCCCGUGGGUGCUCACACCAUCCAGGCCACACAGCAGCCGCCCAGCGCAGAGGGAGCGCGCAGCUCUGGGGGCACGGAAACUGCCACCACCCAUCCCUC